AUCAAAGAUCCCAUUGAGGUAAGGUCUCUCAAAGACUAGAGAGAAAGAAGCAGUAAGUGAGAGUGUUCUCACAGAACAUUGAAGAGCAGAGAGCAGUAGUGGGUGGUUGACAGAGGAGGUUGAAGGACCUGGAGGCAUCGUGGACAAUGCUCCUUACAGCUGAAAGGUGAUGGUGGUAACUGCUCCCCUCUCACAAGCCUGGGGGUCCUUUAUAACCUGCCACAUUAUUCCGGGGAGCUUGACGCAGACAAGGACGCUCUCUCAUCAUUGAUACUCCCCCAGCUCUUCACCCAGUAGCCAACUAACAGUAAAUGCU
rnacentral:lncRNA from 1 species